rnacentral:tRNA from 1 species
GCCUUCGUGGUGUAGUGGUUAGCACACUGGACGCGCAUUCUAGAGAUCCGUGGUUCGAGUCCUGGCAAAGGCG